CCCUGAGACAAAAGCAGAGGUGGUGGAAGAGGAGAGACAGCAAGGCAACUACUAAAUCAAGGCACAGAACCUGCUGAGGGGCUUGGGGCAAGCCCCUGGCCUACUCCUAGCGCUAUGGCUAAGGUCUGCAUCCUUCCUGCCUGUGCAGCCAUUUCUCAUCUGGACCUCUGCCCUUCCUAGAUCAGCAGGAUCUGCUGUGAUCCUCAGCGAUGGUGGGGACCAGCGGCUUGAACCCGGCUCCUUGCGCUCUGUAAUGUGAGGGCUUAACCAAGUUCCACCACCACCUGGCCCCCAUCCUCUGUUUUAACACUCCUCUGAAGGACCACCCUUUCCCAGCAACAAACAACUGGAAGACGGGAACCUUGUCUUAUUUUAUUUCUAUUCCCUGACACAGAAUCUAACAUAGACUGCAUAGCCAGCAAAUGAAGGUGAAUGAGUGAUCAAAUGAAUGAACCCUG